UGGGGAAUUUUGGACAAUGGGGGCAACCCUGAUCCAGCAAUGCCGCGUGUGUGAAGAAGGCCUUCGGGUUGUAAAGCACUUUUGUCCGGGAAGAAAUCCCCUGCCCUAAUACGGCGGGGGGAUGACGGUACCGGAAGAAUAAGCACCGGCUAACUACGUGCCAACAGCCGCGGUAAUACGUAGGGUGCGAGCGUUAAUCGGAAUUACUGGGCGUAAAGCGUGCGCAGGCGGUGAUGUAAGACCGAUGUGAAAUCCCCGGGCUCAACCUGGGAACUGCAUUGGUGACUGCAUUGCUCGAGUAUGGCAGAGGGGGGUGGAAUUCCACGUGUAGCAGUGAAAUGCGUAGAGAUGUGGAGGAACACCGAUGGCGAAGGCAGCCCCCUGGGCCAAUACUGACGCUCAUGCACGAAAGCGUGGGGAGCAAACAGGAUUAGAUACCCUGGUAGUCCACGCCCUAAACGAUGUCAACUGGUUGUCGGGCCUUCAUUGGCUUGGUAACGUAGCUAACGCGUGAAGUUGACCGCCUGGGGAGUACGGUCGCAAGAUU
rnacentral:rRNA from 1 species